GAGCCACACACGCAUUUGCCCCCUGGGCUCCGUGCUGGCUUCUCCAAAAUCCACCCACCCUGGGAAGGAUGAGCAAUGUGUCUCGGGCACCUGGCCCUUGAGGAUGAGCUGUAAAGAAGGAUGAGUGUUUCCGCUUGACUUUGAGCCAACCUUAAUGGGGAGAAGCACUUCACCUCUAACGUGCUCGACUUGCCUGACAAAGGUGCAGCCCAAACCCUGCCCUGCUCUGCCCACCUGCUCGCGGGGAAAAGGGAAGGCAGGUCUGAUCUUGUCUGGUCGCCUGGCGACGCUGCUUGUAGUCUUGUCAGCCGUAGGAGCUAAAAACAGAUCCCGGUCCUGCUCUGUCUCAUGGGCAGAGAGGAAGAGCCUAAGGCUGGUGCCUUGACUGCAGGAAGCCUUGGUAGAGGCAGAGGGCCAGGGGCCUUCUGAUUCAAGAGAGGAGACGGGAUAACAGGAGAAUUCCUCGGAGGAAAACUCUGCAUAAUAUAGCAAGAAGAAGGAACAGCAAGAGGAAGUGGCUUCAAGAGGCAGAGGGAGUCAAUUUCAUCCCCACUUCCCUUCCCGCCCUACCCUGAUCUCAGCAAUUAGGGGAAAUUGCUGAAAGAGUUUUGAGAUUCAGCGAAUGAGAAAUUCGGGGCACUCCACAAGGAUUGCAGAAGCUAGAAAAGACUACGGAGUCAUGGACACAGAUAACACAGUGCUGGCACCCUUCCUUUCUCUGGAACCUUGGGACUCACCAAGAGACCUCACUACGUAGCACAUCAGCUGGCCCAAACAGUUGUGGAGGGCUUAGCACACAUUCGGAAGCCGUUUCCAUGAUUCAUCUCACUGAAUCCUCACAGGAACAGCCACUUAGUGUGUCCUGUUACUCACCCCCUUUUUCAGGUGUCGGGAGUAAAGUGAAGGGAUGUUGGACGACUUGCCAUAGGCUGUGUGGUUGGUCUCUGGUGGAGGCGAGCGUCAGCCUGGAUGGGGUGGAUCUAGAAUGUCCGACGGCUCUUCACCCGCACAGCACGCUGCCUCCCCAUAAUGGCCCUCUCAUCACAUGA
rnacentral:lncRNA from 1 species